rnacentral:ncRNA from 1 species
CACUAAAAGACAAGCAACAACUUUCUUUAUUGACUCCAUUCCUUUCCACUGCCAAAAGCAUAUUUGCUAAAUUCUGUUAGGUACUCAACCUUUCAUUCUUAGAUUCAUUAUUAAUUGUUGGCUGGUCCAUAACAAUACUCUUCCCUUUAAUAAUUUCCUUGUCCUCAAGGAAAUUUAGCUAGUUAGUGAGGCAAUAGCUUACCAAGACGAUGAUCAGUAGCUAGUCCGAGAAGAUGAUCAGCCACACUAGGACUGAGACACGGCCCAAACUCCUACAGGAGGCAGCAAUGGGGAAUUUUUCGCAAUUGGCGAAAGCUUGACGGAGCAAUACCGCGUGGAGGUAGAAGGCCUACGGGUCGUGAACUUCUUUUUUUGGAGAAGAAGCAAUGACGGUAUCUGGGAAAAUAAGCAUUGACUUACUCUAUGCCAGUAGCCGCAGUAAUAGAGAGGAUGCAAGCGUUAUCCGGAAUAAUUGGGCGUAAAGCAUCUGCUAGGUGGCUUUUUAAGUCCGCCAUCAAAUCCUAAGGCUCAAUCCUAAACAGGAGAUGGAAACUGCCAAGCUGGAGUACGGUAGGGGCAGAAGGAAUUUCUAGUAAAGCGGUGAAAUGUGUAGAGAUCAAAAAGAAAACCAACGGCGAAAGCACUCUGCUGGGCCGACAUUGACACUAAGAGACGAAAGCUAGGGGAGCGAAUGUGAUUAGAUACCUUAGUAAUCCUAGUCCUAAAUGAUGGAUAUUGGGCGCUGUGCCUAUCGACCCAUGCAGUGCUGUAGCUAAAGCGUUAAGUAUCAUGCCUGGGGAGUACGUUUGCAAGAAUGAAACUCAAAGGAAUUGACGGGGGGCCUGCACAAGCGGUGGAGCAUGUGGUUUGAUUCGAUGCAAAGCAAAGAACCUUACUAGGGCUUGACAUGCCAUGAAUCCUCUUGAAAGAGAGGGGUGCCUUUGGGAAUGUGGACACAGGUGGUGCAUGGUUGUCGUCAGCUCGUGCCGUAAGGUGUUAGGUUAAGUCCUGCAACGAGCGCAACCCUCAUGUUUAGUUGCCACUAUUGAGUUUUGAACCCUGAGCAGAGUACCGGUGAUAAGUCGGAGGAAGGUGAGGAUGACGUUAAGUCAUCAUGCCCCUUAUGCCCUAGGCGAUACACGUGCUAUAAUGGCCGGGACAAAGGGUCAUGAUCCUGUAAGGGUGAGCUAACUCCAAAAACCCCUCCUCAGUUCAGAUUGCAGGCUGUAACUCACUUGAAAACUAAGGAAAAUGGGAUUACAUAGAAGUGAGGUCCUCCCAAGUUGCUUAUGUGGGGCUCAUACUAGACCAUUGAACCAGCACUUGU